UGUCCAGACUCCUACGGGAGGCAGCAGUGAGGAAUAUUGGUCAAUGGCCGAGAGGCUGAACCAGCCAAGUCGCGUGAGGGAGGACGGCCCUACGGGUUGUAAACCUCUUUUGUCAGGGAGCAAGGGACAGGUCGUGACCUGUUGUGAGAGUACCUGAAGAAAAAGCAUCGGCUAACUCCGUGCCAGCAGCCGCGGUAAUACGGAGGAUGCGAGCGUUAUCCGGAUUUAUUGGGUUUAAAGGGUGCGCAGGCGGCGAUGCAAGCCAGGAGUGAAAGCCCGGGGCCCAACCCCAGGACUGCUCUUGGAACUGCGUGGCUGGAGUGCAGGAGGGGCAGGCGGAAUUCCUGGUGUAGCGGUGAAAUGCGUAGAUAUCAGGAGGAACACCGGUGGCGAAGGCGGCCUGCUGGACUGCAACUGACGUUGAGGCCCGAAAGCGUGGGGAGCAAACAGGAUUAGAUACCCUAGUAGUU
rnacentral:rRNA from 1 species